rnacentral:rRNA from 1 species
AGUGAACGCUGGCGGUAGGCCUAACACAUGCAAGUCGAACGGCAGCACAGUAAGAGCUUGCUCUUACGGGUGGCGAGUGGCGGACGGGUGAGGAAUACAUCGGAAUCUACUUUUUCGUGGGGGAUAACGUAGGGAAACUUACGCUAAUACCGCAUACGACCUACGGGUGAAAGCAGGGGAUCUUCGUACCUUGCGCGAUUGAAUGAGCCGAUGUCGGAUUAGCUAGUUGGCGGGGUAAAGGCCCACCAAGGCGACGAUCCGUAGCUGGUCUGAGAGGAUGAUCAGCCACACUGGAACUGAGACACGGUCCAGACUCCUACGGGAGGCAGCAGUGGGGAAUAUUGGACAAUGGGCGCAAGCCUGAUCCAGCCAUACCGCGUGGGUGAAGAAGGCCUUCGGGUUGUAAAGCCCUUUUGUUGGGAAAGAAAAGCAGCAGGUUAAUAACCCGCUGUUCUGACGGUACCAAAAGAAUAAGCACCGGCUAACUUCGUG